rnacentral:lncRNA from 1 species
CAAACUACGCUCUUUUGAACACUGGCAAUAUUUCCCGGUUCCUAGGGCAUUGAAGGGUACAGUGGGAGGUCAGAGGCUUGUAAACCACAAUUCCCAGAAGCCCUCGGGCCAGAGGGAGUGUAGGACCUACUUUGUCGCUAAAGGACUCCAAUUCCCAGCGUGCAGCGCGCGUGUGGACCUCAACUCCCAGCAUGCCUGGGCAGGCGGCAGGAAGGACCGACUCGCCCCGCCGCCUUUCCUUGCCCCGCCUCCUUCGUCGCUCAGAGCCAAUGGGAAGGCUCCAUACUGCAGGGUGUGGAGGGGCCGGCGGCGCCGCCGAGUUGCGAGUCGGCGAUAGCGGCGGGAAGUUCGUACUGGGCAGAAGGCGACGGCUCUGCGGCUCCGGGUAGGGAGCCGUGGGCUGCGCGGACCGAGAGCUCGCGCGCGCACCGAGUCGGGGCGCGGGGGCGGCGCCGCCGGUCCUCCCCGGUCAGCCCGCUGCUGUCCUUGCCGGUCUGCGGCCUCAGAACCCGGCCGUGCUUGCAGCCCGUAACCCGCUGGACGGACGAGGUCACGGGGCCCCCAUUCAGCUGAGAACCCUGAGCCGACGCCCAGGCGCCCACGGGCGCAGUUUGAAAGGCUUUCUUUCCAGGACAGGCGGUGGUGAGCCGGAGUGAUGGGAAAUCACUGGAAAAGCAACAAGGAGAUCGAGAAGCACAGAUUUCAUGUUGGGAGACUGACUCCCUGGGACCCUUGACUCGGCAAUGAGAGGGGCCUUGGGUACAGUGCCGGUCACACCCGGGGAUGGAGAUGCUGCCUGGGAACUCAGUCUAGACACGGAUCUCACAGGAAUGAAAAUGCCUCGUGUAAAAGCAGCUCAAGCUGGAAGACAGGGGCCUGCAAAGAGACAUCUUGCGGAACACUUUGCAGCUGGGGAGAUAAUAACUGACAUGUCAAAAAAGGAGUGGAAGCUAGGAUUACCUAUCGGCCAGGGUGGCUUUGGCUGUAUAUAUCUUGGUAAGUGUAUGACUACUUCUAAUCCUCAAUCCAAAGUAUUUUUAUGCUUUUUAAAAAAUCAAAAUAGGUUUUCAUUUUUGUGCUAUUACAGGAUGUUUGUAAUAAUGUGCAGUCAACCUGAUAUUGUAUGAUAAGGUAAAAAUGCAUCUCUGCCAGGAGUAGAAGAGCAGAUUACUCAUUUAAUCACAGUGGAAAAGGGGGACAAAUAUCUAAUAAUGUCGCUGGUGAUCACUAUGGCUUUAGAUUUUUAAGAUUUCAUAUGAUCUCAAU